GGUGUCUGCCAUACUGCAGCUUUGCAUGAUAGGUUUCUUUUGAAAAUAUGUGUUUUCAGAAAUGUUUUAGGAGAACAGCUUUUUUUUUUUUUUUCCUUUUACCAAUUUUUUAGUGUUUAUUAGAAGAGGCUGAAAAAAUUAUACACUUCCUCUUAUGAAGGAUUAUGGACACCAAAAGGUAGAGGAUUCCUAGUACAUACCUGGUCCUGCAAUUCUGUAUACUUUCUAGUAUACUUGAUAUACUUUGUUUUUUGCAAAAACAGGCUUAGGUUUUUUUUCUGAUUCUUAGGUUUGGGAGAGAACUGGCAUAAGGAAUUUUUUUUUUAACCAACUUUGACUUUUUUUCCCCUCUCUUUUUAAAUUUCUCAUCUGAAAUAUGACCUGUAAAAGAAAACAGAAUCAUCUUUAUGAGAUAUGUGUCAUCUCUAAGCCAAAGAUUGGCUAUCCAUUUGUCCCUUAAGAAAAAUGAAAAGUCAUGGCAUCUGUGUAGUGAGAUGUCUGCUGCUUAGUCAAUUACAGAUAAUCUGAUUAUCAACCUAUCAGGCCAUCAAGUCUACUUGUAUAUUUAUAAACAUAAGCUUACUUCUUAAAUGGUGGGCUUUCAUCCUAUGGGACUUUUCCUUUAAAGUGAAUUUCACCUGGGAAAUUACU
rnacentral:lncRNA from 1 species